GAGUUUGAUCGUGGCUCAGAUUGAACGCUGGCGGCAGGCCUAACACAUGCAAGUCGAGCGGCAGCACAAAGGGAGUUCACUUCUGAGGUGGCGAGCGGCGGACGGGUGAGUAAUGCCUAGGGAUCUGCCCAGUCGAGGGGGAUAACAGUUGGAAACGACUGCUAAUACCGCAUACGCCCUACGGGGGAAAGGAGGGGACCUUCGGGCCUUCCGCGAUUGGAUGAACCUAGGUGGGAUUAGCUAGUUGGUGAGGUAAUGGCUCACCAAAGGCGACGGAUCCCUAGCUGUUCUGAGAGGAUGAUCAGCCACACUGGGACUGAGACACGGCCCAAGACUCCUACGGGAGGCAGCAGUGGGGAAU
rnacentral:rRNA from 1 species